UCCGGUGGCGAUGGCUAAGAAGAUACACCUGUACCCAUUCCGAACACAGAAGUUAAGCUCUUAAACGCCGAAAGUACUUGGCUGGGGACGGCCCGGGAGGAUAGGUAGCUGCCGGAU
rnacentral:rRNA from 2 species